rnacentral:lncRNA from 1 species
GCCAUUUGUAAAACAUUUGUAAUUCAGACCAUCUCACAAAGACAGGCUGUGGUGGUUAUGGUACGAGGAGUGCUCAGAGACCGUCCCCUGGUAAGGAGUCACUUGAUUUUUAAAAUAAUUUCAUUCUUACUGGAGUCCCCGCGAGCAUCCACUUUUCUGCUCAUAUUUGGAUGUUAUUUAUUUUUUACACUCUUAGGCAAUGAACGUCCUAAUAGAAAUUGAUACAGUUAAUGCAGAGCAAGAACUUGUGCUUUUAUCAGUAUCUGAAUAAGCGUCAGCACUGUGGGCAAACAGAAUGAUAAAACCUUUGCGUGCAUGUUGACUUUAUUUGCCCAGAAUGCUGUGCACUUGUAGCACUAGAGAAUUGACAAGGAAUUAGCAGAUGGUCCAAAUAUGUUUACUGAAGAAUGCUAAAUGUUGCUACAUAGAUAUAUCUUUUUUUUUCCCCUUUACGCAUGCUUCCUUUGAGUCAUGGCUGGAUAAUUAAUGUUAGAUGGCAGUGCUGUGUAGAAGCGCAUUUAACAUUUACAUUAGGUGCUUAGAUGGUCUUAAUAAUCCCAUAUUUCCUUUAUCUGUAGGAAGGAAGACUCAAAAUGCAUGCUGGGGGUCCUACUUUAGUAUUUUACGUAAUAAGAAGGAGCAGCUGUGUAGAUGAUCAAAGCGGAAUGUGAAGUCAGCCAUGGAAACUCCUUGUCAUGCAGGAAACUUAAAUGCAAUACAGGAAAUCUAACACUUUAUCUAAAAAGCUGUCUUACAAGAUACUGCAGUGAGCGAUUACUGUGCUGAUUGGGAUUCAAGGGAAAAAUUUUAUUUGCCCGUUCCCUAGACAUUUGCCCAUUUACUGAUGCUAAAACACAAAUUAAGAAUCAUUGACGCUCAAUAUAAUUUACAUGCAGUGCGGGUCCUAAUGCGGGUCCUAAUGUCUGAAGAUGUCAGGGUUUGAUCAUCUACGAAAUGCUACAUGCUAAGAUCAGCUCAAAAUCGACUUGAAGGGUCAGUCUUACUGCAAACAACAUAGUGCUUUGAUCACCCCAAGCCCACUGUCAUUGCUAACAGUUAGUUACAGCAGCAGCCAAUAGUACGGUGUAUGUAUAAAAUGAGGGGCAGUCCCCAUAGAGCAGAAUGAGGUUCUCCUGAUUACAGUGUUGCAAGAGCUGGUUCUCCUCUUGUUUGAUUUUAUAACUGCAAUAAGACUCACCAAGCAGUCCACCAAUGGACUUUUUGAGGUUAACAACCUUAUGCAGUAUCUAUAUAAUUUAUUAAAAAAUACAUGACAAUGUUUAAACCAGAGGCAAAGCUAGAAACCACAGGACCACGGUGCAAAAACUGCCCUGGGCCCCCCUAAUCCCCCAUUUGUCUACCCCACACCCCACUUGAUAGGCGUAGUCCCGGUGGUUAUACAGCGUGACCCCUGCGACUGCAGUAGUUCCGCCACUGGUUUAAACCUAAAUUAACAAGUUCACUCUUUUACGCAUCUGUUUCUACUGUUGAUUUAAAAGGAGGCAAACAAAAUCAACUUGUUUUAAAAUGAUUCUCAAUUGUGGCACAAAAAGGGGAUAAAAUCCUUCUGAACAUUUCUCCUUGACACUACAAAACUGUUAUUUAACAUUUUAACUAUUCCCCCCCAAAAACAUCCAGACCUUCUUUACAAAUCUUAUUGCACCACUAUGUUUAGUUUUUACUAAUAUGAAUAUGGCGGUAAGUGGACAACAAAAACUUGCACUAUAUUGAAUACUUUCAUCACUGUUUAGGUAGAGUAUUCUGAUUACCCCACGGUUUUCCAUCCUAAAAUAUUGCACACUCUAUCCGCUUAGCCAUUAUAUAGACCUAUGCAGCUUUCAGUAAGUUAGCCAUACUUUUACAGUGAGGGAAAAAAAGUAUUUGGUCCCCUGCUGAUUUUGAACAUUUACCCACUGACAAAGAAAUGAUCAGUCUAUAAUUUUAGUGGUAGGUGUAUUUUAACAGUGAGAGACAGAAUAAAAUGCAUGUCAAAAAGUUAUAAAUUGAUUUGCAUGUCAAUGAGUGAAAUAAGUAUUUGACCUCUUCGACUUAAUACUUGGUGGCAAAACCCUUGUUGGAAAUCACAGAUGUUUCUUGUAGUUGUCCACCACGUUUGCACACAUCUCAGGAGAGAUUUUGUCCCACUCCUCUUUGCAGAUCCUCUCCAAGUCAUUAAAGUUUCGAGGCUGACGUUUGGCAACUCGAACCUUCAGCUCCCUCCACAGAUUUUCUAUGGAUUAAGGUCUGAUAACUGGCUAGGCCACUCCAGAACCUUAAUGUGCUUCUUCUUGAGCCACUCUUUUGUUGACUUGGCUGUGUGUUUUGGGUCAUUGUCAUGCUGGAAUACCAAUCCACAACCCAUUUUUAAUGCCCUGGCUAAAGGAAGGAAGUUCUCACCCAAGAUUUGACGGUACAUGGCCCCUUCCAUCGUCUCUUUGAUGUGGUGCAUUUGUCAUGUCCCCUUAGCAGAAAAACACCAACAAAGCAUAAUGUUUCAGGCAGCAUUGCUCCUCCUCCAAACACGGCGAGUUGAGUUGAUGCCAAAGAGCUCGAUUUUGGUCUCAUCUGACCACAACACUUUUACCUAGUUCCUUCUGAAUCAUUCAGAUGUUCAUUGGCAAACUUCAGAUGAGCCUGUACAUGUGGGCAGGGGAAUCUUGCGGGCUCUGCAGGAUUUCAGUCCUUAACGGCGUAGUGUGUUACCAAUUGUUUUCUUGGUGACUAUGGUCCCAGCUGCCUUGAUCAUUAACAAGAUCCUCCCAUGUAGUUCUGGGCUGAUUCCUUACCGUUCUCAUGAUCAUUGAAACUCCAUGAGGUGAUAUCUUGCAUGGAGCACCAGACCGAGGGAGACUAACAGUUAUUUUGCGUUUCUUCUAUUUGCAAAUAAUUGCACCAACUGUUGUCACUUUCUCACCAGCUGCUUGGUGAUCGUCUUGUAGCUCAUUCCAGCCUUGUGUAUGUCUACAGUCUUGUCCCUAACAUCCUUGAACAGCUUUUUGGUCUUGGCCAUGGUGGAGAGUUUGGAAUCUGAUUGAUUGCUUAUGUGGACAGGUGUCUCUAAUACAGGUAACGAGCUGAAUUUAAGAGCACUCCCUUUAAGAGAGUGCUCCUAAUCUCAGCUUGUUACCUGUAUAAAAGACACCUGGGAGCCAGAAAUCUUGCUGAUUGAUAGAGGAUCAAAUAGUUAUUUCACUCAUUGAAAUGCAAAUCAAUUCAUAACUUUUUUGACAUGCGUUUUUCUGGAUUUUAUUUUUGUUGUUGUUAUUCUGUUCACUGUUAAACUACACCUACCAUUAAAAUUAUAGACUGAUCAUUUCUUUGUCAAUGGACAAACGUUCAAAAUCAGCAGAGGAUCAAAUACUCCCCCCCCCCCCAACUGUAUGUGUACAUACAAAAGAACAAAAUUACUAUAUAUAUAAAAAAUGCAAGUGUUAUUCUAUCCUAAGAAAGUAGUGGGGGUAGGGGUUGAUCUCCUAAAUAUUUUUCUUUCACCACACUUUAUGGAAACUAUACAAAGUCAGUUUUCCACCAAAGUGAAAGAAUGACCAGGAGCUGAUAUUCAAGCCAAUGUAAGAAGAGGAACAAAAAACAAUUGUGAAAAAUAUAUAAAAACAAAUAAUGUAGUGGGUAAAAAAUCCUGGAGAUGAUAUGUACAAUAAAAACAAAUCUGAAAUGGGUGAAUGAAAUUCAAUAAAUCACUAUCUAUAAGUCCAUAAAAGUCCAAAAUCUCAACAUACAGAGAUGGGGGUAUGGCGAGACUGCUGUCUGUUCGUGAAUUGCUAUGUGUUAUUCCCCGUGUUUCCCCUGUGUUGUGUUAUAUUCAUGUGAUUUACCUGCUCCCCAUUUGGGAGAGCUAAUAUGAACGAGUUCCGUUCCCCUCCCGAACGGGGACCACCACGAAACCCAUUUAGAAUAUUGUCUUAGAAUGUUUAUACCUCGUAACGAGGUAUCAAAACCACAAACCGCAAGGGAAACCUCAGCGUGUUCCGAACCUGGGUGGCAGCCCGUUCGUUAGAUGAACGCCAUCUAGGGGGAGCAUUUGCGAAUUGCUUCCCACCUUGUUCGGUUACUGAACGAGGACCUCCCCAGUACCCCUUGGAAUGUUCACACCAAUCAAUUAGAAUGUUGUCAACUUGCCACGUAAGUGUGAAAUCGAAAGGGAAGUAAUUAAUGAGUGCUUCCCUGGGCGGCCGCUGUUCAUAUAGACGAUCGGCGGCAAGGGGGAGCAUUUGUGUCCCUUGCCUGGUUUCAUAUAGGGACCCCACGAGAGCAGGCGGUUACCGUUCUUGGGGUCCCUGAGAUUGGUGGGGACACUCUUUUGGGGACAAUGGCAGUUUGGCAGGCUUUCUGUGGCUGGGAGUCACAGAGGUGGGAAACUUUCCCAUGCUGAGACUCCCAGGUACAGAGGCUCAUGGGAUAAAUAGCCCUGGUCCCAAGAGGUGGGAAACCCUGGGGAUGGGUGGCGGGAGCUGGGCACAAAGGGACUGGAGUUCCUGUCAACACGCACAGGCCCCUGGGAGGAUUUGGGGUUCUGGUUCCGUUACAUGACCCCUGGUAGGGGGAGGACCCUGGGAGGGAACACUGUUGAUGUGUGUGAUCCGCUUUUAUGGGGAAAGUAUAAAGCCGAGUGGCCAAUAAAGUUGUUGUACCGCCAGGACUGUGUGUCGUCCAGUUACUGGGUGGGUAAUAGGUCUCUCUGUACUAUAACUGGUUCCAUUCUAGGGACAAGACAUGGCUGAACCAGGACAACCGGCCGAGUUGCUAGCAGAACCGUUACAGGGGGAUAAUAUUAUGUUGGGAUACAAAUAUGGAAAUCAGGCCGGCAGUGCUACUAUACAAUACAAUGUAGCCUGGUCAGGCCAGAUUGCUGUAUGAAUUUAGAACUCAGUAUCAAACUGAGAGAACAUUAAUUCAGAUUAUCCACAAAAUAUUCACUUGCGUAACUAAAUGAAAAGAAAAAGGUAAAUAGUGCUUUACUAUAUGUGAAUUAAUUUAUUAUUGAAAAAAUUAAAAACACUCACAGAUUGUAAAAUUGAGGUUGCAUUUAAGGGGAUGAAUCCCCGAUAUGCAGUUAUCUGUUCACUAUACCAAUUUGUUCCUCUGCUGACCGUAUGAAAUGGCAGCUGAAGUUCGAAAGUGAGACGCCAGCGUCCGAAGGUAAAUGCAGGUUUGGUGUGCAUUUCACUGGCCACCUGGGUUCCAUCAUGAGGCUCUCAAUGAAAUAAAGCAUUGUUUGCAAAAUGCGUAAGGCAGAGAUUUCGAUUCCAGGAGUGAGUUUGAAAGACGCACAAUGGAACACAGGCAGCAAGGGGAAUGCACACCAAACCUACAUUCACCAUUGAACGUUCGCGAUUUACUUUUAAAAUUUCAUUCACCCAUUUCAGAUUUGAUUUUAUGUUACAUAUCACCACCAGGAAUUUGUAUUUACUACUUAAUUUUUCACAUUCCACCCCCCUCCCUCUUCUUAUAUUGUCUUAUAUUGAUUUUCCUUUGGUAUAUGUCUAUGACUACUUAGCCUAUAACACUGUAUAAUGAGGUACGCUGCUGAAACUCUUUAAAGGUAUUCAAAAAAUUAGGACAUCUAAAGAACUGACAAGACAAUUGCAAAGUUUAGCUGGGUCAUAGAUUUUAUGUUGUCCUAUACUAUACAAUUUAUUUUGAUAAGUUUUCAAAACCCACUUUAGAUAAAAAAAAAACUAAAUAUAAUUGGUUAAAGGGUACCUGUCAUAGGUAUGUUAUCUUAUGCUUGAGCAAGGGAGAGAGCAGAUAAGACCUCUCACAAGAGGUCCUUCUGCUCUCCACACAUAGCAACCACAGCACAGGUGCUGUGGUUGCUAUGGUAACUCCAUAGCCAAUGCUGCUAGUGCUGGCUAGGGAGUAUUGGAACAAAGUGGCUGAUGUGACUUCGUUAAGAUGCCAGAAUGCUGUAAAUGAAGCCACAGUGUCAGUGUCACAGAGAAGGUUUCCCUUUUUGGGAAAUCAAGGAGGGUAAAUGAAUAAGGAGGAAAUGGCGGCACUAACGCAGAGAGGUAGGGUGGUUAUUUCUGGAAACUGUACAUUGAAAAAUUGAAUAUAUCAUGUAUCUUUGUGAAAUAAAAAAUUGAGUGACGGGUUCACUUUAAGUAUACAAAGUAUUAUUUCAUUUUAUUUUUUUUGUAUUAAGUUUGUACUCAACUAUAAAUUGUAGUAAUUUAUAAAAGGAAUAACAUGGUGGUAAAAAAUAUUCACUUUUAAUAUCUUCUGUCAUUGGGAUUACAAAAGCUUAAUUGAAACCAAAUCACUGCUUUGCAAUGCAGUAACCUCCAUUAGCAGUUUGUCUUCUGAUUUAGUUUGACGUGUCUUAUUGUUGCUGAGAGAUUAUUUGCAAUCAUUCAACUUCAACAUGUUUCUUUGACGUCGCUCCAGCGUGUAAAACAUGACAUUCCAGUGGUUCAUUAGAUAAACCAUUACUCCACUCAUCUCUAAACAAUAUAAGUCAGAAAAUAAAGGUUAUUGCCUUGGGAAUCUUUUUUUAUUGAUCAUUAAAGAAAAUAAUUAUUGGGUAAAGGUACGAUUUGUGCAAUCAGCAGGCGAAUACUUAAAAACCCUCAGUUGGGCAAGGGUUCAUUAUAUGGUGGCUGGCCAGUGCUUGUUAGCCAGGCCCCGGGUUAAAAUAGUAAAAUAAGUAAAUAGAUAAAUUAAAAUCCGAUGGGAAUCAAUAAGACCCAGAUUUUACUAUAAUGGAGGUAUCGUGCCGAUGUCAGGUGGGAGCAUAUCUGCUAAACAAUUAAACUAGCGACUGUGCCACCAUUGCUGCCCAGUCACUAGAAAAGGUCCUGUCCAAUGGGGAUGGGGCCUGUAAAAUAACAAGGUAAUAUAGCCCCCCCCCAACCUUCAGGUAGGGUCUAAUUUAAAUUUUAAGAGGGUACCUAGAGUCUCCUCUCAUGGCCGCCACCCAUGACGGCACCUGGGAGCCCUAAUAUUUAUAUAAAGGGGGAUCUGGCUCAUGCUGGUGGAAAGGGGCGCUAAUUAUUAUAUUAUUAUAUGGAUAGGGGUGCUAAUUAUUAUAAAAUAUGGGGUGGACAUGCCAUUGCCCCCUCCCCCAAAUAAUAGUAUUCUCCCUGGGUGGCUCGGGGUCCCCAAUCGCCUAGUGACCCACUGAAAUAAAGUCCCUAGCUACUUCCCUCCUCAUCCUAAUAAUAAUGAGGAGGGGGCCAAAAAAAUCUAAAACCUGCAAAAAAAAGUCAGUAGUCUACUUUCUUCUAAUUCUUUUCUUCAGCCCCAAAUAUAAAUACAUAAUUCUCAACACUACCAAUUAAAAUAAAAAAAAAAGGUCUGAUUGCAAAAAAACCAAAGUAAGCCAACCAAUCAGAUCGCUCUGACAGCCAAGUCUCUUGAGACUGGGGCAUUUCGAGGCAAAAAAAAAAAAUAGAUUUUAUUCACAAAAUGUAUGCAACUCCAAUUUUAGCAAGACAGCUCCCGAAUGAAAAUGGGUUUACUUAAUAUAAUAGCCUCUCUGGAUAAGCCUGAGUUCUCUAAAAACUAGUAACAUAUUCUAGAAACUGGUUCCAAAUACGGUUUUGGCCAGUUUUAGGUUGAUUGAAAACUGUCAUAAACUGAAAAUGGAUGACACCAGGCAACUUUCAGACCUUAAAAUUUAAAUUAGCCCUCACCCGAUGUUCACGGCAGAAGGGAGGGGAGGGACUAUGUACGCCUGUUAUUUCACAGGCCCCCCCCCAAAAAAAACAGGACUCAUUGCCUAACCACUCUACAUCUGCAAUAAUAAUAAUGAAAUUAAAUUUCAGCAUUAUCAAAACCAAAUCUGUUCAACCAAGGGUGGCUGUGAUAGGCCGAAAUCACACGGGGAAUGUGCCAGGUAGAGUACUUCCAAUCCAUCCAAAAUGGUUUGACAGAAAACCAGGUCAUCACACCCACAGACGCAUAGCAACAUUACCACUACAAUGAGCUCAUGCCAGUCCUAUUACCGGUAAUGUGAGAUUGUAUUCUAGAAAAUGAUCUCAGAUUCAUAUUCAGUUGGCCUGUCAAAACACUGGAUUUCCUGAAUAAAUGAUAAAGGAAAUGCCAUGUCUUGUGCGCAUAUGUUGGAUCAUCAGCAUGCUGUAUCGGCCAGGAUUUUCAUUGUCAGACAAUGACAUUGUCUGUGAUCUUUUUGUUUUUUGUAUAAGGAAACUGAUUCAUAAAUAAAUAGCUGUGGCAUAUUAACAACCAUUCUGCCAAAUAUAAAGAGUUACUCCAAGCACCAUGACCACUUCAAUCCCUCUGCUGUAACUCCGCACCUGACAGCAUCAUUGGGGGGUCAUCAGCCAGUUUAGAAUAGAGUUCCAGGAUGCCUUAUGUCAAUUCUGUGCAAAUUUUCAAAUACAGAAUUGCACCUAUUGGUUGAGAGUGGUCAGCUGACACUCUUAGUCAAUGACUUCUGCAGAGCUAAGUGUCACCAGCCCUGCUAAGAGACCAGGAGCCUGGCAUGGACCAAGGAAACUGUUACUAAAAAGUUUGCCCCAUUAUUGGUGAACUGGUCCAUGGUACUCCUGGCACCAUAGUGGGCGGUGUAGUGGUUAUGAUGCUUCAUGCUUGGUGUAACCAUUUAAGGCAAAAUAAAUUAAUUGGAGGAAUUUUGUGAAUCGACUAAAUAUUUAUUUUUAUUACACAUUUAUGGCACACAGAUUUGUAUUCCUAACACUAUAGUGUUCAUUUAGCACCACUUAUGCAGUUGCCUUUUAAAUACAAAGUAGCUAUUUUUAGUGAUCUUAAAGGGACACUCUAGACCCCUAAAGCAGUGCUUUACAUGUGAAGAGUGUGUCCUCUUAUUUUCAUUUUACAAACAGUGCAGAUUUCAAAAGAAAUUGGCACUUUUUUGAAUUAACAUUGUUACACCCCGCCUUCUGCCCGGCUUCCAAUCAGAAAACCGGUCUUGUUACUUCCUGGUUUGGUUAGCUCAGUGGAGCUAAACUCGAGAGGCAGCAAUUGCCCAGAGUACCUGCCUUGCAAAGACUUCUCAUUGAGUUGCAUUGGGAAAUCUGUGAUUGGACAGCCAUGGAAAUUCUGGUCAGGGUUAGAAGGGGAGGGCUUGUAAAGGCAGCAGAUAAAACAGGGGUCCUCAAACUCCGGCCCCCCAGAUGUUGCUGAACUACAACUCCCAUGAUUCUCUGGCUAUCUAUGUAAUUCAAAGAAUACCCAUGGGAGUUGUACUUCAGCAACAUAUGGAGGGCCACAGAUUGAGGACCCCUGAGAUAAGAGAACUGUAGAUUUUUCAAACUGUUUAGAUAUAACCCCAACGAAAAACAUGCAGAAUUAAAUGCAUGCAAGUGUUCAUUUGGGGCAUAUCUACUAAGCAGUGAAUUUUUUAAAAUGUUGUUUUCCCUUUAAACUGGUGGAGAAUAAAAUGUUCUCAGUGCAAUUAUUCUAUGUUUCUGGAGACAGUUUCAUUUAAUUAAACUUCUUUUUAUAGUUUAGAAUAGAGUCGAGCCAGUUCUUGCAAUUUGCUUCUGGAUCCAUUUACGAGAAUAUGUAAAAAGUUAGGUUUCUGAAACCGAUUUAGUUACAAAAUGAUUUUUGUUGUUGUUGUUGUUCUUUUCUUUGUAGAUGGCGAAUCAUAAUGGACUGAAACACAAUUGUUAAAAUUAAGUCUUAAUUGUCACAAUGGAAAAAUAGAUGAAUAUCAUUUUUUUCCCCCAAUCCAACUACCUUGGUAAAUUAGCAGUUUGUUUUGAGGUUGUUUAGUAACGAAACCCCUGAGUGACGUGUGAUAUUUUGGUGACGCAAAGAAAACAGGGAAGGAUGCAGAUGCCUAGCAAAGCAAGGAAAUGAAAAUGUGAUGUUUUAGUCUGAUUUGAAGGAUCCAGGAGAUACCAGAGGAAUUUAGACAAAAGCUUAACCCGCUCACUACUAAACAUUUUUAUUUUAAAAUAUUAGUAUAACAUUUAUUACAAAUAUGGGAAACAUAAAUGUAGAACAAAUCAGUAAUUUCAUGUAUAGAUUGCUGCUCGGAGAUACAUAACAUUUUUAAAUAUGUACAUUUGCAUGAUUAUUUUUUUCUACCUUCCCAUAUUGGGGGCUUAUUUGGGGGUGGGGGGUGGGAGGGUUGAAUAGUUUCAGCCACUGCACAGUAUCUAAUCUCUAGAGAAUUUCCUCUCAACAUUUAAAAUACUUGAUUAAAAAUGACCAAAUUCCAUGCUUAGAAUAUUUUUUUUUGUAAGGAUCCUCACGGCAUUAUUAUUAAAACAGCUUCUUAAAAAUGUAAUCAAAACGCAGAAUAUGUAUAAAUAUGUAGAAACGUGAACUUUAAUUCAUGAAGCAUAAAAAAAAGUGUAAUAAGGCAUUAUAGAUUAAAUGAAAAUAAAAUUAUGGAUAUGCACUUGUUAUUGUUUUGUUGCAAAAAUCAUCUUAUCUAGUGCCCUUCCUGUGUAACACAUAGUAUCUCAUCUAUGCAUGAUAGUAUAUUUCUCAUAAUGCUGUGACAUUUUCUAUCCUUAUUUUUGUAAUAUUGGCUUGUGUUAAAGGGAUACUAUAGUCACCAGAACAAUUACAGCUUAACCCCUUCAGGACGGGUGACGGACGAGGUCCGUCACAGAGGGGAGACCCUUAACGACGGGUGACGGACCUCGUCCGUCACGCGGUAAAAUUAACCCCGGAUCGCCGCUAUCGCGGCGAUCGCGGGGUUAAUGUUGCUCCCGGUAUGCCUCUGCAUUAGAGGCAUACCGGGAGCACCCGGUCAGUAUGCCCAGUACAUGUGCUCGCUUUGACCGCAAGUCAGAGCGAGCACAUGUGCUCUCUAUACUCACCUACCGGCUCCCUGCACUUCCGGGUUCUAUGUGAAGUGCAGGGAGCCGGAUCAGUGCUGAUCCUGCCCCCUGCUGUAAAAAAAAAUAAAGUUUAUUUAAAGUCCCCCCCCCCCCUUACCCAUUUUAAUAAAAAAUGAACCCCUUCCCUGCCAAUUGAUCACUGACUACAGUGAUCAAUUGGCAGGGAUUACAUUUUACUAUGAUCUGAUUUUUUUUUAACCCCUGAGGGUUAAUUAUUAUUUUUUUUAACCCUCAGGGGUUAAAUUAAUUAAAUUAUUUUUUAAUUAUAUAUUUAGCUAGCUGGGGUAGGUGGAAGUUAGUGGGGAAUUGGGGGAUUUGGCGUUAGGCUAACUAGGGGUUAAAAGAAACUUUAAAAAGUUAAAAAUUAAGCUUAAAAAAAUGUUUUAAUAACAUUUAAGUAAAAAAAAACAAAAAAAACCACACUUUACCUAGUCCAAAUAAAAAUUAACCCCUUCCCUGCCAGUCGAUCACUGCCUACAGCGAUCAAAUAGAGAUCACAGUAUUAUACUGUGAUCUAAUUUUUUUAACCCCUGAGGAUUAACUUUUAUUUAUUUUUUUAACCCUCAGGGGUUCAAUUUAUUUAAUUAAUUAAUUUAAAUAUUUUAUAACUAUAUAUUUUGCUAGCUGGGGUGGGUGGGAGUUAUGGGAAAAUGGGGAAUUUACUGUUAGUGCUGCGUACUGCUAGUUAGGGGUUAACGGUAAAAAAAAAAGCUUAGAAAAAUGUUAAAUCUGUAAAAAAGUUUUAAGAAAGUUUAGGAAAGUUUAAAAAAAAUUAAUAAGCAAAACAAAAGUUUAAAAACUAGUUUUUAAAAGUAAAAAAGUUAUAAAAAGUAAAAAAAUACAUUUUAAAAACGCUCAUUACCACUACACCUGGAACAAACUAGAGAAAAAAUUAUCCCACGCCAAGGUUCAAAAUAUGCCUUUUGAAUUACCCCAGGGUGUAUUCUUUAAUAAAUAGUAUGUGUUUGUGGGGAAGUUUCAAUAACCAACCGUCUAAACUACUCCAAAUUGGAACAUGGACACAGCGUAAAACUUCAAAGUUAGAAAAAACUGAAUGGCUGCGUCUCAAAUGCGCCCCUUCAACAUCCACAUAUACCUGGCAAAGGUACAUACGGGGGUAUUGCUGUACUCAGCCGACAUAGCUGAGCAACAUAUGAAGUAUUAUACAGUCAUAGCACACAUAAGGUUUGUAAAAUAUGCUGCGCAAACUCACUUUGUAUGUCAAAAAGGCAGAAAAAAUGCUUAUUACCACUACACUUGGUACAAGCUAGCGGAAAAAUGAUCCCACGCUAACGUUCAAAAUAUGCCUUUUGAAAUACUCUGGGAUGUCUUCUUUAAGAAAUGGUAUGGCUUUAUGGGGAAUUUGGAUUAUAUAGCCUGGUAAAAUACUCUAAAAUGGGACAUAGGCACAGCAUAAAAAUUCAAAGUUUGAAAAAAACUGGAAUGGCUGUGUCCCAAAUGUGCCCCUCCGAUGUCCACACAUACCUGGCAAAGGUACAUACGGGGGUAUUGCUGUACUCAGCCGACAUAGCUGAGCAACAUAUGAAGUAUUAUACAGUCAUAGCACACAUAAGGUUUGCAAAAUAUACUAUGCAAACUCACUUUGUAUGUCAAAAAGGCAGAAAAAACGCUUAUUACCACUAAAUCUGGUACAAGCUAGCGGAAAAAUGAUCCCACGCUAAGGUUCAAACUAUACCUUUUGAAACACCCUGGGGUGUCUACUUUAAGAAAUGGUAGGCCUUUGUGGGGUAGUUUGAAUUUAAAACCUGCGAAGAUGCUUGGAAAUUGCACAUAGGCCCAGCGUCAAAAUUCAAAGUUUGGUAAAAACGGAUAUGGCUUGGUCUCCUAUAUGGCACUGUAGCUUCACAAAAUAGUGCCAAAGACAUUCAUUGGGGGUGUAUUUUUACUCAAAAGACUUAGCUGAGCAUAAUUUGGGAGGUUUGAACUUAGUGGCACAUAUGAAAUAUACAAAACGCCCAGCAAAAAUGCAAUCCGUAUGUAAAAAAUGCACAAAAUUAUUUUUUACCACAUACUUUGGCAUAUAUUGGUGAAAAAAUGGGGGCAUGUUAAGGCACAAUAUGCACCUUAUAAGAUACCCUGGAGUGUCUACUUUUACAAAUGGUAGGCCUUUGUGGGGGGUUUUUUGAACAGUCAAACUGUUAUAAUACCCCAAAUGGAAGCUAAGGCUCAUUAAAUCCAUCUCUCAAAAUUCUACUGUGAAUACUGUAAAGGACAGGUCUCCUAUAUGGCACUGUAGCUUCACGAAAUAGUGCCAAAGACAUUCAUUGUGGGUGUCAUUUUACUCAGAAGACUUAGCUGAGCAUAAUUUUGGGGGUUUGAACUUAGUGGCACAUAUGAAAUAUACAAAACGCCCAGCAAAAAUGCAAUCCGUAUGUAAAAAAUGCACAAAAUUAUUUUUUACCACAUACUUUGGCAUAUAUUGGUGAAAAAAUGGGGGCAUGCUAAGGCACAAUAUGCACCUUAUAAGAUACCCUGGAGUGUCUACUUUUACAAAUGGUAGGCCUUUGUGGGGUUUUUUUGAACAGUCAAACUGUUAUAAUACCCCAAAUGGAAGCUAAGGCUCAUUAAAUCCAUCUCUCAAAAUUCUACUGUGAAUACUGAAAAGGACAGGUAUCCUGUAUGGCACUGUAACUUCACGAAAUAGUGCAAAAGACAUACAAUGGGGGUGUCAUUUUACUCAGCAGAUGUAACUGAACACAAAAUAAAACUUUGUACAGGAAUAGCACACACCAACUUUACAAAAUAUACACGAGAAUUUCUCUGUUAUAAGUUUGUGUGCCAAAAACCAAAAAGAACACAAUUUUACUCCAAUAUUUAGCAGAUUGGCGGUGAAAUGGCUACGUAGAAAGUGUCAAAACAACCUUAGGUAAAUAGCCCGUGAUGUCUACUUUAUAUAAAUAUAUACUUUUGUGUGGCAAUUUUGUUUUCUUUUAUGGCUAUUAAGCUUACAAGACAAACAUACCAAAUUCUAAAAUCGCUCCACAUUAAAAGUUUAUUUUACUCCUUGUGCUUUGUGACCUGUAACUACCAAAAAAAAACUUAAAAUCCCAGACACAUUAUAUAUUCUGUAAAUCAGAACAAAUAAAUAAAUUUAUUUUUAAUUACUUUCCUUAACCUGCACUAAUUAUGCACACAUUAUUAUUGCAAAAACUGUAAAAAAAAACAAUAUUUUUCAUUUUUUUUGCAUUUUUCUGUAUUUUUUUAUAAUAAGUAAGCAUUUAUAUAUAUAUAUGUUAUAUCAAAUUAAAGCCCUUUCUGUCCUUUUAAAAACAGUAUAUAAUAUGUGUCGGUGCAAUAAAUGAGAGAGAUGCAAAUUGCAGUUGAACGCAAACAGCAAGAAAAUGCAAAAAUUGCUUGUGUCAUUAAGCGUAAGUCAAGCUUCUGAAGCUGUGUCCUUAAGGGGUUAAUGUAGUUGUUCUGGUGAGUAUAAUCAUUGCCUUCAGGCAUUUUCAUGUAAACACUGCCCUUUCAGAGAAAAGGUUGUGUUUACAUUGCCCCUAGGGACACAUCCAAGUGGCCACUCCUCAGAUGGUCACUGGAGGGGCUUCCUGGAUCAGGGCUGCACAGUAAGCAGCACUGCUGUUCAACGUCCCCACGCUCUUCAUGGAGACGCAGGAUUCAAUGAUUCAAUGCAUCUCUAUGAGGAGGUGCUGAUUGGCCAAAACAGCAUUUGGCCCCGCCCCCUUGCUGAUUUUAGCAAAUCCAAUGCUUUUCCCAUGGGAAACCAUUGGAUUGGCUAAAAAUCUGCAAUUUGAUGAUGUAGCCAAGGGGUGGGCCAAUGCCGGCGGACAUGUGGAGAGCUGAAAAUAAGGUGAGUUUUAACCCAUUCUGAGGGAGCUAAAGGGGGAAGGGUGCAAGCCACCUAAAUGGUGGGUUUUCACUAUAGGGUUAAGAAUACAUUUUUGUGUUCCUGACCCUAUAGUCAUCCUUUAAUGUUAUAUUUGUUUGGUGAUAUCAUUUUUUUUUUUCUUACCAAUGCAGUAUUAAAAAAAAAAAAAAAAAGAGCACAAAAUAAUAUAGUUUAUAAACACUUGGCAAAUUGAAACGCUCACAGACAGACAUUCACUGAAGUGUGAAAUGGCAGGAGUCCAACGUGAAUUUGUAUUAUGAAAUUAUCUUCUAGGUUUUUUAGUGAACCUACUUUGGCUUCAAAUCUGAAAUCCAUUUUGAAAAAUGCCCGACAGAGUUAUUCACCAGUGAGACCAGUGAGAUUUGUUAUGAAUUCAAAGUGAAUUUACAAUUAAUUCAAAAUUGAAGGCCAAAGACUUCAAGCCUGGAAGCAUGGCUAACUUGGAGAAUUGUUCAAGUUUGGCUACUUUUGGAUAAAUAAAAGUAACUAAAAUAAUACUUACAGGUAUAGAGCAGAAACACUGCUCUAUUAGCAAGGCGUUGGUGGCAUGAUCCCCACCUGGGAUUUCUUUAAGUGCAGGAACAACAGUAAAAAGCCAGGAAAGUAAAAAUGGUAAAAGUGCAUAAAAAUACAAUAAAAAGAGAAUUGGCACAGUAAGUAAGUUACUUAAAUGUGAGUUCUUUACCUUCUCAUAUUAUUUUACCCUCUGGAUUUUAGACGUAUUGCACUACUGGCUGCCCCUGUCUCCUUUUUUUUUCAUAUAUGCGAAUACCCUGAGACACUAGGACGCACCCACUUCUACUGAAAAGUCUACCCACCUAUACUCCAUCAAGCACUGUUGCUCUAGUGAGAUUCUUUUGGACUAUUUUACGUUAUUUUAUUUAUUUAUUUAUUAUUUUUCGCUGGCACAGCCCUACCGCAUUUCGCUGAGUAAGUUGAUAGCAGCCAUACUAGGGGACAAAUGCACUUAAAGGGCCACGUGAAAUUCACAGAUAUCAUAUCCCAGGAAUUAUCCUAAUGGGCGAGUAUUGGGCCAAGCACACACCAACAUAGUGGUGAGCUAGCAAAGGCCAUGGAGAAUCCCUGCCUAUGGCCUCACUCUUGUGGUACUCUGUCAACUGACAUACAAAUGUUCCAUGGCAAAAGUAAGAUAAUGCAACCCACACCAGUAUAUGCUAGUGGCCAGGGGAAAGUGCCACCAGCUGUCUUGCAAGCCCUCCCCUGCUUACUAUUAGAGUAUUGACAGAUUUUACAGUUUUACUUUAGUAGACACAUACAUUAUGGGCAGUGGAGGAGGUAUAGGAAGUGCACUCAGACAUUGACGAGAUACAUUUUAGAAUCAUAUUCUAUGCAGUGACCUUCAAUGUUUAGUGUGCUUGAAGUUUUAGUUUAAAAUACUGGGAUCCUUACACUGUAGAGGCCAAUAUAUUUAACCAAUAUGGCACAGAAGAAGAGGGUAUUUCACAAUUUACAGUUCCAGCCUGACAUGUAACACUUUGAUGAUAAGAAUAUUUCUGAAACAUUUUAGGAACUCGUGGGUUCUGUCAAUUACAGCUGGGUUCUGUCUGUGACAACCAUUGGUCUGCACAAUGGGCAAGUGUUUCAUGUGCAUUUCAAUUACCCAUUUAUCUCUGAUUUAUGUGCCUGAGGAUGAAUCUAUGUGGAAUUUAUGGACAGGAAACCCCAGUCAGCAAUGAAGGAAGAUUAAUCUACUUGUUACUUGCUGAAAAGGAAGCGUAAUAUAAUGUUUAACAUGAUGGUCCUAACCCCCAAACCUCUCUCUUCCUUAAUACUUUUACCCAACCAGCCAUCAUGUCUUCCUGGAGCUAAAGACUCAUGAUAUAUCUGGGAGGCUGAUGGCAAAAUCUUUAUAAAACAAUAAUACAAUUUUAAACAUCCAGACUUGUUAGCUUUUAGCUCGCAACCAGACAGGUUUCUCUUCUGUGCCUCAUGUCAUUAUUUAUCAUCAUUUAUUAUUAUAUUAUUAUCAUGUCAUGAGCUCCACUUUUCCAAAGGUUUAUUAAAUUACAUGACUGGAGCUUACUUCCAGGCAUCGCAGCUCUGGGACCGCUUUAUAACGACCAAUCCUGGGGCAAAGCUUUACAAGUGGAGCAAUCACCAUGGAAACUAAUGGAAUGUUCUUGAUGAUUGCUUCAUACAGGUUCCCAUGUGGUAGUGCAACAAAAAAGGCCAAAUAUAUUCACACUUGUCUGCAAUACUAUGCAAUGCCAACAGUAUACUAAGUGCUGCAUUGACAGGCUGGGUAGAGGAACACGCAGAGCCUCUACAAUAGUCCUACUUGGCCAUGACAAAAUCCAGGACAGGAUAAGUGACAUGGGGUGGAGGGGACAUGCAGGGAGAUUGGGGAAACACACAAUGGGGUCAGUUGGUAAUGGGAGACCAAAAUGGGGAAUGUAUGGAAAAAGAAAGACAAAAGAGGUUGGGGAGCAAAGAAAGACAUUUACAAGGUUAAUUGGGGUAUGGAGAGACACAUCCGAGGGUAAGUUGUCGGAAGGAAAGACACAGAAGCACUGGCACGAGGGGAUGCGGAAGUUUAGAUUGUUAAAUCCCAGGGUGGAAUAUCAGCAGAAGAUUUUUCCUUUGUACCAAAUAACCAAGGUAUGCCUAUGUACUAUAGUACUGUAUUACGACUGAUUUUAAUGAUGAAAUUGUAAAUCCAUCACUACCGAAUUAUAUAGAUAAAGGGCAAGCAGCAGUUUUCUGUAUGUAUUUCCUUUAAAUAUACCUAGAAAUCCAAUUAUGUAAAUUUACCAUUAUGCUAAUUUCUCAUUUGUUUGAUCAUAAAUAUUGUUGAGAAUAAGAUACGGUAGACUUAGCUUGAAAAAGACCUCUUAGCAGGUCGAAACGUCGCUGUUCUUUUUGUUUAAUUAAAACUGCCUGCGGCUUUAACACCUUGAGUGCCUGGGGAAUUUUUUUCGUUACAUACAGUAGACUUGACAAAAAUCGAUAAAUGAAAAUAGUAUAUGUUAGGAACCAGAUGAGGUUUUUUGUGACUAAAUAACCCAUGAGUCUUUUGUUUGUCUGCUUGUGUUUAAUUGAAGGUCUUGUUAAUGAAAACAUUAUUGUAUUACCCAGAAUCUGUCAAGGAGAGGGCUGAUAAACAGUAAUAUGUGUAUGUACUAUAAACAUGUGCUUAUCAAAGAGACUAUUGUACGUCUUGGUCUUACAUUAUAUCAGCAGUGUUAUGAGUUCUGUGUUUAUGAAACUAAUUAUGUUUUGCGGCAUGUUUGACACCCUCUGGCGACUGGCGGCUGUAAUGAUACAUAUUGCUGGCAUUCAUUGCCAUUUAUUGCUGUCUGUAUCGAUCACCAUUCUCUGCCCAUAUCUGUGCGAGUGCCUAUUCGACAGUAAAUGCGCGCAGUCUAGCGCCAUUGCCCUGAUAUAGGGACAUUAGGUCACUUUACCACAUUAUAAGCCAUCUUUAGUUAUUUCGAGUUCUAGCCUUGGCUUGUUAUUGGUUUUAAAGAAUUCUGUUAUUCUGACCCAGGUAGUUUAGCCAUUUUAUGUAAAUCUGGUGUCCUUCAGCUAGUCCACUCUUUAUGAUUUCUCUCUAUUUAGAGAUUCUUUCCUUCACCCUUGCCUCUAAGGAGCAGUAAAAUGUCUGCUAUCAUUUCUUCUUCCCCUUCUUUCCAUAUUGUAGAGAAUAGUCGUAUUAUACGGUCUAAAGAUGAACUGAUUCCUCGCAGGUAGCGAGAGUGGCCUGGCCUCGGGGGAAUCUUAGUAGCAGUAAAAAUGAAAGGUAAUACUUAGGUUCCCAGGAAAUAAAGUCAAGCAAUCCAUCUAGUCAAAAGAUAUCACAAGACAAAGACAUAAUACUUGGUCUUAUGGAAAACCCCCUACCUCGAUAAUACCCAACAAAAGGUACCACCAUCAAGUUUUGUCAAUUUUCUCAGCUGUCCAUGAAAAGCACAGUCUUGCAGGAUCCUUCAGCAAGAAAAAAGGCAGGCCUGCAGAAACAGUGUUUUGCUCUGGGCAAUGUUUUUUAGGGAAACCUUGGAUUCUAGCAUUCAUAUGCAUGUUAUUCUGACACAUACCCAGGGCCGGACUGGAGACAAAAUUCGGCUCGGGUAUUUUUUAAUCACAACGACCCACUGAGAAGGGAGGGGGGACAUGGGGGGCGUUUUGUCAUCACAAAUGACAAGCACGCACCCUGUCAAAGUGAGCAUGUUGGUUCAAUGCUCUUCCAGGGCAGAAAUUGCGCAGAGCUCUGCUGAAGAGCUCUAGCAUGAGAAAAGGGUCCUGUAUUUGUUCUGCACAGCGCAAGCAAAUUUAAUAACAUGCUUAUGCUGUAUGUGCUUGUAACUUGUCUCUGGUGUCUCUAUAAAUGGGAUACCAGGAGUCAAAAGAGCCUGCUUGUGCGAUUGCGUGUGUGUAGAGUGAGCUGAUUAUGGUGUGGUAAUGUGUAAAUGGGUUGGUUUGUAAUGUAAUGGGUUGUAAUGGGUUGUAAUGUAAUGUAAUGUGUGUGAGGGCUCUGUGUGCGUGUGAGGGUGCAUGUGAGGGAGCUGUAUGUGAGGGUGCUGUGUGUGUGUGUGUUUGAGGGUGCUGUGUGUGUAUAUAUUUAGAGGGAUCGUGUGUUGGGGGGAAGGCAGAUAAAAAAAAAGCAAGCAUUGUAUACCCCCUCCCUUAUUACCUUUAGCCUGGCAGGGGGGAUCGUGCUGUCAUCCUUGAUGGUCCUAGUGGUGAGUGAACUCUAGCCUGCAGGCAGUGGCGUACACACAAUUCAUGGGGCCCCGGUGCGAAAUUGCUCCGUGGGCCCCCCCACCUCUCUCCCCUUCCCUCCCCUCUCUCGAUCCGUGGGUCCCCCCGACACAUACACACAAACACAUACACACAGACAAACACCCACCGACAGACACAUACAUACAAACAUACAUACAGACACACACAUACAUACAGACACACACACACACACAGACACACAUACUUAGACACAGACACAUACAGAGACACAGACACACACACAUACAGAGACACACAUACAGAGACAUACACACAAAAUACAGAGAUGCACACAUACAGAGACAGACACACACACAGAGAUACAGACACACACAGAGACACACACACACACACACACAUACAGAGACACACACACAUAAAGAGACAGACACACACACACACAUACAGAGACACAGACACACACAUAUACAUACAGAGACACACACACAUACACAAAAUGUUUCUUGUUUCCUACCUUUUGUGACUUUCCCUGGGGUCCAGUGGGGGCUCAGCCUGAUGGGAAUCAGAGUUCCCACUCUGACUCCCUCCUCCUUCCUGCUUCCUCCCGCGCAGGCUCUGAUAGCUGGGAGGACUGAUCGGGGAGUCACUUCCUCUCAGCUCUGUGUGAUUUUAUCACAGGGGGCCCGGUCAUGCUGGUAAAACACCCAGCGCAGACCGGGCCCCCUGACAAUCCAUAUCCAUCGGGUGGCCCUGACAGCAUGGGCCACCCGAUGGACCCCUUAACAUGCAUGGCAGAUGGUACCCGGUCACGGGGUCCGGCCCCCUGGAGUGACGUGCCCAGUCGCAGCUGCGACCCCUGCGACUACGGUAUGGAAGCCACUACCUGCAGGGCUAGAGAUCACUCUCGCGAGAUCCAGAGUGAUAAUCUCUAGGUAUUUGGUAUUUGCAGUCCCGGUGUGCCCGAUGGCCAAUCCAGGCCUGCACAUACCACAUACCUAGAGAUUGUUGCAGACCCUUUCAUGGCAAUGGUGUUCCAUGGUGUCAGUGGCCUCUUUCAGCAGGAUAAUGCACCCUGCCACACAGAUGCCUCGACGCAUCACAGCUGUUUUGGCAGCACGAGGAACAACAACACAUUAUUAGGCAGGUGGUGUUAAUGUUGUGGCUGAUCAGUGUAGGUUUGUCCAACAUAUUGGACCAUACAAAUGGCAUAUAUCGCCAGAUAAAUGACAUAACCACAGGAAUCUCGCACAGGGGGGUGUUACUACGGACUAAGCAUGUUAAGAUUUAUGUGGAUGCAGCUCGAAACAUUUGUCCUUUCAGACACACACAUUCAGGUUUGAAACUCAGAUUGGGUUAUUCACUAAAGUGAGAAUUGUUAGGAAUUCAAAGCGAAUUUCAAAAAUGCCAAACUAGUCGAACAUGAAGCACAGCAGACGUCACUUUAUUCCAAUUUGGCUACUUUGGCUUUGAAUUCACUUUGAAUUCCUGCAUAGCCCUGUUUGCUGAGCCUUGUAAAGAACUCCAUAUUACUAGGCAAGGAGCGUCCAUUGUUGUACUAGUGUAAUUACAAUGUCAUCAGCAAAUAAAUCCAAUUUAAAGAUUGUUUACUGUGUAUGGACAUGUCCAAAUAGAUAGAUAGAUAGAUAUACAGACAGAUAUAUAUAUAUAUAUAUAUAUAUAUAUAUACAGACAGAGAGAUAGAUAGAUAGAUAGAUAGAUAGAUAGAUAAAUAUAUAUGCAGACAGAGAGAUAGAUAGAUAGAUAUACAGACAGAGAGAUAGAUAGAUAGAUAGAGUGAUAGAUAGAUAGAGAUAGAUAGAUAGAUAGAUAGAGAGAUAGAUAGAGAGAUAGAUAUACAGAUAGAUAGAUAGAUAGAUAUACAGUUGCAAGAAAAAGUAUGUGAACCCUUUGGAAUGAUAUGGAUUUCUGCACAAAUUGGUAAUAAAAUGUGAUCUGAUCAUCAUCUAAGUCACAACAAUAGACAAUCACAGUCUGCUUAAACUAAUAACACACAAAGAAUGAAAUGUUGCCAUGUUUUUAUUGAACACACCAUGUAAACAUUCACAGUGCAGGUGGAAAAAGUAUGUGAACUCCUAGAUUAAUGACAUCUCAAAGAGCUAAUUGGAGUGAGAUGUCAGCCAACUGGAGUCCAAUCAAUGAGAUGAGAUUGGAGGUGUUAUAAAAGUGUUAUAAAAGUAUAUUCAAAAGCCUUGCUGCUCAUCAGUCCACGGUAAGACAAAUUGUCUAUAAAUGGAGAAAGUUCAGCACUGCUGCUACUCUCCCUAGGGGUGGCCGUCCUGUAAAGAUGACUGCAAGAGAACAGCGCAGACUGCUCAAUGAGGUGAAGAAGUGUCAGCUAAAGACUUACAAAAGUCACUGGCAAAUGCUAACAUCCCUGUUAGCGAAUCUACAAUAUGUAAAACGCUAAACAAGAAUGGAUUUCAUGGGAGGAUACCACAGAGGAAGCCACUGCUGUCCAAACAAAACAUUGCUGCACGUUUACAGUUUGCACAAGAGCACCUGGAUAUUCCACAGCAGUACUGGCAAAAUAUUCUGUGGACAGAUGAAACCAAAGUUGAGUUGUUUGGAAGAAACACACAACACUAUGUGUGGCGAAAAAAAGGCACAGCACACCAACAUCAAAACCUCAUCCCAACUGUGAAGUAUGGUGGUGGGGGCAUCAAGGUUUGGGGCUGCUUUGCUGCGUCAGUGCCUGGACAAAUUGCGAUCAUCGAAGGAAAAAUGAAUUCCCAAGUUUAUCAAGACAUUUUGCAGGAGAACUUAAGGCCAUCUGUCUAACAAAAGAGAUGGCACAGUUAUUGACAGACUCAGAGUCAGGGAGAUUGACUGGCUAGCAGAAGAGAUGGCACAGUUAUUGACAGACGUAGAAAUCAGGGAGAUUGGCCGGCUGAUAGAAGAGAUGGCACAGUUAUUGACAGACACUGAAUCAGGGAGAUUGGCUAGCUAACAGAAGAGAUGGCACCGUUAUGGACAGACACAGAGUCAGGGAGAUUGGUUGGCUAACAGAAGAGAUGGCACGGUUAUUGACAGACACAGUGUCAGGGAGAUUGGCCGGUUAACAGAAGAGAUGGCACAGUUAUUAACAGACGUAGAGUCAGGGAGAUUGGCCGGCUAACAGAAGAGAUGGCACAAUUAUUGACAGACACAGUGUCAGGGAGAUUGGCCGCCUAGCAGGAGAGAUGGUACAGUUAUUGACAGACACAGAAUCAGGGAAAAUGGCCAGCUUGCAGAAGAGCUGGCACAGUUAUUGACAGACACAGAAUCAGGGAGAUUGGCCGACUAACAGAAGAGAUGGCACAGUUAUUGACAGGCACAGAGUCAGGGAGAUUGACCAGCUAGCAGAAAAGAUGGCAAGGUUACUGGCAGACAUAGAGUCAGGGAGAUUGACCGGCUAGCAGAAGCGAUGGCACAGUUAUUGACAGACAUAGAGCCAGGGAGAUUGGCUGGCUAGGAGAAGAGAUGGCACAGUUUUGGACAGACAGAGUCAGGGAGAUUGGCCGGCUAGCAGGAGUGAUGGCACAGUUAAUGGCAAACACACAGGGGUGGCUAAUAGGACUUGGAGCCUGACUAAGAGAAGAGGUGCCACAGUUACUAGUAGGCACAGGGGGACCGGGGAGAUGCACAAGGCAGCUGCUGAACCAUGUGGGAAUUGACACAUUGUAUAAUGCACAGAAAGAGAAGAAGGAUUUAAGAAAGAAGGAGGAGCAGAAGUUAAAAAACAAAAAGGAGGGGCAGAGGGGAACUGAAUGAAAGGUUAAGAAGCAGCCUCAAAGAGUAGUGAGACUGAGACAGCCUGGGUCAGACAGAGGGAGACUGAGACAACAUGGGUCAGACAGAGUGAGACUGAGACAGCCAGGGUCAAACUGAGAGAGUAAGGAUAGAGAGAGAACCAGGAUCCCAAUCAUAAACUGAAUAGCAUCACAGGAUAUUAGAUUGAUAUAGUAUUGCAGAGCAUCUCAGGGUAUUGGGUAUAAAUCAUUGCCUGGAGUGUAGAGCAUCACUAAUGACUUUUUAAUGCUGUAAAUGACUGCAGGUAAUCACCCAGACUAUCUAGAACUCAGUGCAGUACAAUACCAACAUAUGGUUCUAGGUAUAGACUGCAGAGCAUCACCCACACUGGAUAUACUGCACACUGGAUAGACUGCAUUGCCUCAGACUCAAUGGUGAAAGAUGAAUUUUAUUUGAGUGCAGAACAUCAUCUUGGACUUGGCUGCAGAGCAUCACCAGAGCACAGAGUCUGUGAGUACAGAGCAUUAUGCUGAACUGAUUGGUUAUUAGUGUGCAGAGCAUUAUCUAAAUCUCAGGGCUCAUCAUUAUCUGUGAAUGCAGAGCAUCUCAUGGGGCAUUGCACCUGACAUAACCAGGGACUGAGUGCAGAACGUUAUAAAAUGACUUUUAUUGCAGAGCACUAGCUACGACUCAGGGUGAAGAAGUUUAGGCAGAGCUUUAUCUGGGUUUAAAAGUGCAGAGCAUCACCGGGGAAUGAGUGCAGAGCAUUGUCUGUGGCAGAGUGCAGAACAUUGUCUGUGGCAGAGUGCAUAGUACUGUCUGUGGCACAGUGCAUGGCAUUGUCUGUGGCAGAGUGCAUGGCAUUGCCUGUGGCAGAGUACAUAGUAUUGCCUGUGGCAGAGUGCAGAACAUUGUCUGUGGCAGAGUGCAUAGUAUUGCCUGUGGCAGAGUGCAGAACAUUGUCUGUGGCAGAGUGCAUAGUAUUGUCUGUGGCAGAAUGCAUGGCAUUGUCUGUGGCAGAGUGCAUGGCAUUGUCUGUGGCAGAUUGCAGAGUAUUGUCUGUGGCAGAGCGCAUGGCAUUGUCUGUGGCAGAGUGCAUAGUAUUGCAUGUGGCAGAGUGCAGAGCAUUGUCUGUGGCAGAGUGCAUAGUAUUGCAUGUGGCAGAGUGCAGAACAUUGUCUGUGGCAGAGUGCAUGGCAUUGUCUGUGGCAGAGUGCAGAACAUUGUCUGUGGCAGAGUGCAUGGCAUUGUCUGUGGCAGAUUGCAGAGUAUUGUCUGUGGCAGAGUGCAUGGCAUUGUCUGUGGCAGAUUGCAGAGUAUUGUCUGUGGCAGAGUGCAUGACAUUGUCUGUGGCAGAUUGCAGAGUAUUGUCUGUGGCAGAGUGCAUGACAUUGUCUGUGGCAGAGUGCAUGACAUUGUCUGUGUCAGAGUGCAGAGAAUUGCCUGUGGCAGAGUGCAGAGCAUUGCCUGUGGCAGAGUGCAGAGCAUUGCCUGUGGCAGAGUGCAUAGUAUUGUCUGUGGCAGAGUGCAGAGAAUUGCCUGUGGCAGAGUGCAGAGUAUUAUCUGUGGCAGAGUGCAGAGCAUUGCCUGUGGCAGAAUGCAGAACAUUGUCUGUGGCAGAGUGCAGAGUCUUGUCUGUGGCAGAGUGCAUAGUAUUGUCUGUGGCAGAGUGCAGAGCAUUAUCCCUAAUAUCUCUGAUGGGGUAUCUUAGCAUCAGCUGAAGAUAUAGUUUAAACGCCUUUGACAGGGACUCAAGGUAGGCUACUUCGGACAGACUUUAAAGUUACAUUUCCAGUGACCCUCCAAACACUGCUUUAUUAUCGCAGAAAAAUAAACCAAAACACUCACAUUACAAAGAAUGGAUCUGUGUAUUGUGUGUCUCCUUUGUUUAGUAAACUGUGAGAUCUGGCGAUCAGUGCUUAUGGUUACACUGUAACUAUGAAAGCCUGGCACCAGCACGUUAAAGGGACAGUAACAAUUAAAGGCAUAUUAAAAUCCAGCAAACAUUGAGUCCGGGACAGCAGCAUUUGUAAAAUCCUAGCUUCAGUUCAGAAAAUGAAACGUACAAACCCGAAAAGCACACCGUAUCAGUAUUACUAUUUUAUAUUUCUAUUCUACUUUACAUGUGGCUUUAUCUGUAGCUUUAACCCCUUCACCAGCGACUCAAGACAAAACCAACCCCAUCUGUGCAGGCUAGACAGAGGUAAAGGGUUAAUCAGGAUAAUUUAAUCACUUGGUUCUACAAGUUUACUAUAGUAGAUCUAGUAAUUGAUUAAACAGAUGACAAUACAUUAAUUAUUCUGCAUCAAAAAAUCAAAGCAGAGCCUGUUUGGAGUAGUCAAUUUUUAAUACAGGUAUUAUGUAUGAAGAGCAAUUUCGGGAGCAAGUUAUAAAAGUGGAGCAGCUGGCUGGAACAUUCCAUCAGUUACUAUGGUGACUGCACACUUUUUAGAAUUUUGCUUUGUAAUAGAAAGAUAACAUUUCUAAUUAGUGGGGUAAUAGUUUCUUGAUCCAAGGAGACAUCUAAUUGCUAUUUUCGGGUCAAGAAGGAAAUGUUUCCUAGUUUGUUGCAAAAUUGGAAGUGCUACAGACUGGGUUUUUUGCCUUCUUUUGGAUCAACAGCAAAAACAUAUGUGAGGAAGGCUGAACUUGAUGGAGCAAGUCUCUUUUCAGCUACUGUAACUAUGUAACUAUGUAAUUGCUCUUUAUAAAUACGCCCCCAUGUGUUUAAGUGAGAUGUGUCUCCAGUGUCAUUACAGAUCCAUUCACUGUAUUUCUGCAGGGGAUUUGGGGGUUCUUGGUGAUAGGGUGGUUUGGGGGUUCAUGGUGAUAGGGUUAUAUUGGGUUAGGGUUUGGGCUGAAAGAAGAAAAUAAGUAUGCUAUGUCUUUAUGAAAAAUAUAUAUUUCACAGUGAAAAAAAAAUUCAAAGUGCAAAUGUGAAAUGCUUUAAAGGACCACUAUAGUGCCAGGAAAACAUACUCGGUUUCCUGGCACUAUAGUGCCCUGAGGGUGCCCCCACCCUCAGGGUCCCCCUCCCGCCUGGCUCUGGAAGGGGGAAAGGGGUUAAAACUUACCUUUUUCCAGCGCUGGGCAGGGAGCUCUCCUCCUCCGAUCCUCCUCCGUUCCUCCCGUCGGCUGAAUGCGACGCGUGGCAAGCCUCGCGCAUUCGUGCAUAUAGGAAAGCAUUCUCAAAGCUUUCCUAUGGACUGAGCGUGCUCUCACUGUGAAAAUCACAGUGAGAAAGUGACGCACCUAGUGGCUGUCAAUGAGACAGCCACUAGAGGAUUUGGAGCUGGAUUAACCCAUUCAUAAACAUAGCAGUUUCUCUGAAACUGCUAUGUUUAUAAAAAAAAAUGGGUUAACCCUAGCUGGACCUGGCACCCAGACCACUUCAUUAAGCUGAAGUGGUCUGGGUGCCUAGAGUAGUCCUUUAAUAAAGUGCAAAAACUAAGUAUAGUGCACUCUCAAAGUGCAAAUGUUAAAAAAAAUAUGUAAGAUUCAAUUUAACUCCAAAGCAAUUUACGCUUUGACAUAGCUUUGUCUUAAAGACACAGUGAACUUUUUUUACAGUUUGAGUGGUUAUGACUCUUAAAGGUGUGGCUUUUUUUUUUUUUUAAAUAAAUAAAUGUAAAAUUUUUUUUUUUUUUUACAUUUUAAGCACCCUAUUCAUUUGUCAUAUUUGACUCUUAGGGUUUGGGCUUACUUAUAAUUAUGGCGCACUUGACCUCAAAGAUGUUGAUUACUGUGACGAACAGAGGGUACUCAAUUAUUAAUUAUGUGUUUUUGGGGUGUACUUAAUAUGUAUGUCCUGGAUCUGAGAGUUAAUGUAAUUGUUAGUGUGUUUUACAGUAGUCUCCUCUCAGGUCCAGUGGGGGAAUGCCCCUGAAAUUUCUAUCAGGAAACCCCUUGCAUGGGGAUUCACAUAAAAGGCCGUGUGUGACUCCUAUUAAAACAGUUCCAGUUCAUCCCCAGUAGAGAUGUCGCGAACCGUCCGCGAACUUCUCGCGAACGGUUCACCACGAACCAUUCGUGGCGAACUCCGGGCAGCUGACACAUCCCGGCCAAUCUCCAGCAGACCCUCCCUCCCAGACCCUUCUACUUCCUGGACAGCAUCCAUGUUGAAGGCAGCUUCAACAUGGAUGCUGUCCAGGAGGUGGGAGGGUCUGGGAGGGAGGGUCUGCUGGAGAUUGGCCGGGAUGUGUCAGCUGACCGGAGUUCGCUGCGAACGGUUCGUGGCGAAAUGCGGCGAACUGUUCGUGAGAAGUUCGCGAACAGUUUCGCGACAUCUCUAAUCCCCAGCAUAGAGCCUCAUCUCAUGUCUGUGGGGGAAGGCUAUACAGGCUAUAUCACUAGCUCUUGUAAGAGCUAUCCUGCUAUACUCUCUGGAGUAGGAGAGAUCUACCCACUGAAAGCUGGAUCCCUGACUUGGGUCCAGGGUGGGUGGAGGACAGCGAAACCCCAGCCAAGCUGCUGCGGCUAAGGGUCUACAGUGCUGAUGGUGUCUGAUGGAGUGCUUGGAGUACUCGGUGAGCACUAGGAAGCAGCAAUUGGCGGAGGUACCCAGUCGAGGUGUUAGGCGGUCCGUCACAAUUACAUUUCCCAAUAUUCUCAGCUAAGGAAAAGCAGGCUGGUAAUGAUUGACUAGAGCUGCGGUCCGAAUCGUACAAAUGUGUCACUUUGUGGUCAUUGCUUCAGUGGCUGAGCAAUGUUUGAGGGUCACCUUCACUAAAGCUUGAAUUUAGCAAUGAAGCCAUCUAACUAAAAACCAAUAAUAUUGACCACGUGAUCCCUCACACAGAACUUUGCACAUUCCUGUUUUUCUGAAAUGCAACUGACUUCUAAUUCCCAGCAGAUUCCUAUUCCUUGCAAUGAUUAGUCAGGAUAGCAGGGGGAAUCGCUAAGAGACUGGUUCCAUGAAAAUUUAUCUGAACAGUGCAAAAUAGUCUUAAAGGGACACUAUAGAAAUCAAAACAACUUUAGCUUAAUGAAGCAGUUUUGGUGUAAAGAUCUUUCCCCUGCACUAUCACUGCUCAAUUAUUUGCCAUUUAAGAGAUAAAUCACUUUGUUUAUGCCCAAGCAGCCCUAGCCACACCUCCCCUGGCUGUGACUGACACAGCCUGCAUAAACAAAGGGUUUCAUAUUCAAUUAGAUGUUAACGUGCUUUAGAAUUUGUUAUUUCCUGCUCUGUAAAUUUAACUUUAAUCACACACAGGAGGCUCCUGUGGUGUCUAGAAGGCUAUUAACAGAGCAGGAGAUAAGACAUUCCAAAAAAACAGAAAGUGCAAUAAAGGAAGUGUAAACAUUAGAUGACUCUUUACAGGAAGUGUUUAGGAAGGCUGUGUAAGGGCUGCAUGCGCAAAAUUAUUUAACUCCUAAAUGGCAGAAAUGUGAGCAGUGAGACUGCAGGGACAUGAUCUAUACUGUACACCAAAACUACUCCAUUAAGCUAACGUUUUUUAAUGUCCCUUUAACAUUGAAGGCACUAGUUCUCUGCAUGUUUAAAGGACCACUCUAGGCACCCAGACCACUUCAGCUUAAUGAAGUGGUCUGGGUGCCAGGUCCCUCUAGGAUUAACCCUUUUUUUUAUAAACAUAGCAGUUUUAGAGAAACUGCUAUGUUUAUAAAUGGUUUAAUCCAGCCUCUAAAGUCUCUAGUGGCUGUCUCAUUGACAGCCGCUAGAGGCGUUUGCGUGCUUCUCACUGUGAAAAUCACAGUGAGAAGACGCCAGCGUCCAUAGGAAAGCAUUAUGAAUGCUUUCCUAUGAGACUGGCUGAAUGCGCGCGCAGCUCCUGCCGCGCAUGCGAAUUCAGCCAAAGAGGAGGAUCGGAGGCAGAGAGGAGGAGGAGAGCUCUCCUCCCGGCGCUGGAAUAAAGGUAAGUUUAACCCCUUUCCUCGCCCUCCAGCCCGGCGGGGUGGGGGCACCCUCAGGGCACUGUAGUGCCAGGAAAACAAGUAUGUUUUCCUGGCACUAUAGUGGUCCUUUAACUCUGAACACAGCAGCUCUCCACAGGCUCAAUACUUCACCGGCCUGUGUUAUUUGGAACUUUCCAGACAACACAAAUGGCUUCUUCCUUAAUUAAGUUGUUAUUGUGUCUCGAGGUACAGGCUCUAUGUUCAACCACUACAUUAGGACUAACCUUGAUAAGCACAGACUUGAAGUUGAAGUUAGCAGCCCUUCAUCAGCUUAACACAAAAUUCAAAGGCUCAGUUUAAGGAGCGUAAAUCUGUAAUUCUCUUUAAUUUUACUGUAAACCCUGCAGCUCUCCAGACUUCACACUAAACAUACCUUAGACAUAGUAGUAAACCCAGCAUCAAAACAUGAACUUCUCCAUGCAAUGAUCCCUGAGGUUUCCCUGCAGCUCCUCGUGGGUUAAAUGAUGAACUUAUAGGGAAAGUAUAAUGAAAUAUUUCUCCCUCUAUCUUUAUGCUUUGUACAGAAAAUAUAGUAAACAAACAAAAUAUCCUUACGAUCUAUUUUAUUACAUUUACACAGUACAUAUCCGCAGCAGGAGCCUCUCAUUUAUGGGAUAAGUAGUUUAUACACCAACCUUAAAGGACCACUAUAGUGCCAGGAAAACAUACUUGUUUUCCUGGCACUAUAGUGCUCUGAGGGUGCCCCCACCCUCAGGGUCCCCCUCCCACCAGGCUGGAUGGCGAGGAAAGGGGUUAAACUUACCUUUUUUCCAGCGCCGGGCGGGGAGCUCUCCUCCUCCUCUCCGCCUCUUCGGCUGAAUGCGCAUGCGCGGCAGGAGCUGCUCGCGCAUUCAGCCGGUCUCAUAGGAAAGCAUUCAUAAUGCUUUCCUAUGGACGCUGGCGUCUUCUCACUGUGAUUUUCACAGUGAGAAGCACGCAAACGCCUCUAACGGCUGUCAAUGAGACAGCCACUAGAGGCUUUAGAGGCUGGAUUAACCUAUUUAUAAACAUAGCAGUUUCUCUGAAACUGCUAUGUUUAUAAAAAAAAGGGUUAAUCCUAGCUGGACCUGACACCAAGACCACUUCAUUAAGCUGAAGUGGUCUGGGUGCCUAGAGUGGUCCUUUAAACCCACUACUCAGUUUAGUGGAACAGCUCUGUAAAGUGAUAGCAGUCAUAGCACCACUGUAAAUGACACAGAGACUUCUUUAAUGUUUAGGAGAGAGGGCUCAGCUCAAUCUGUGUGGGCAGUAUGUGCAGAUAGCACACACGAUAUGAACAAAACUGAUAACAGACUCUGGCUAUUUAAAUGACAGCUCUGGUGUGCCAGCUUACAGCUGCAGAGCUUUUACACAAUGUUAAAGUUAUAAACCACUCUCAGAGCUGAGAGUCGGUGCAAAAUAGUUAUGGUGCUUAAACUGAAGUUACGAUCACUCUGCUGGAAUAGGUACGUUCUGUUCUCGAGUUAAUAAAGUAAAAUAAGCGUAACUGAGUACACCAGCCUUUUAUAAUUCUGACAGUUAUCUUCUUGUUAAUACAUUUGGUGUCCCUGGUCACUCCUAUUCACAGAUUUAUUCAGUUUACAAUUAUAAUUUCAUAGAUACAGAUUUUUAUGUUUGAGAAUAUGUAUUUAAUAGACACAAUAAACAUUAAUAUAUUUUAUUUGUUUAUUUUAAGAUUACAAAGGAUUUAGUGAAUUCACAAAUAAUUGUAAGUAAUUCUAAAUAAUAAUAAUUAAUAAGAGGGGGAAUUGGGUAAAUUAUUGGCGUAUGAGUCACGGGGAUCCCAUUCUGUUAUGGGGGAUCAUCAUAUCUGCCCUUUUUUCGAACUAUGUCACAACAUUUAGGAAAACUAAUCAGUUACUAAUGCUUGCGCUUAUCACCCCCUAUCCCACAGAACCAAGGAUAGCGAGGAGAGGCCUGGGGGUUACGGAGUAGACAGUGCAAGUUCAGGAUGUGGUCUAGGGGAUCAAGGUGUGUUGCACAGGUUUAAUCCAAGUGUAGUUCAGAAAUUUGUCCAUUGCCAAAAUCCAAGCGGCAUAAGUUCAUGAGCGACACAGCAAGCCAAGGGUCAGAGUCCAGGUUAAUGUAAGUCCAUAAACACAAGCCAGGGACAAUCCAAAGGCAGGGUCAAAGAGUAAUCUAAAAUUAAAGUUCAAUAAGUCAUGGGGCCUUUGCACCAGCUCAUCAUGGGUAUUAUCCACUGUCUAGCAAGAGAGUUACAUUUGGAAAUUCUCCCCUUUUUCUUUCUCUGGAAUGAUCAGCAGUUUGAGAUUAUGGGAUUUUAUAUAGAGCACACUAAUGCCACCACAGUUUGCUUGUGUCCUACGUUUACCAGCGGAUGAGGAACACUGAUGGCCACAGUCCCCUAAACAUAAGGUAGCAUCUUUCCUUCUUCCCCGGAUGUUCUGUGUAAUAGGUCAUUCAUAGAAUAGAGAAAUAAAAUUGUUGCUAAACGUGCAGCUGGUGAGAACAGGAAAUAAAAUUGCAGAAUCCAUUGUGACAUAGAUCCUGGUUAUGACCCCAAAGUGCGAAGAGAAAUAGCAAAUCACAUUGUUACUUUCUGUGUUUAGGAGAAUAGCUGAUCCUUCCAGGUACCAGCAAGCAAAGGGUUCACAUACGCUAACCCUUAGCAGACUUUAAGGAAUUUACUUAAUACCGCUAGCUCUCACAAGUAUGGCAGACGGAGCAUGAAACCGUUCCACUAAGAGGUCAAUGACUUAAUAUAAAUAUGUUUUCUCUAUAAAACAUACUGGAGUCAGUUCCUUAUUCACAUCCAAGAAAUAAGGAACCAAAUGAUCAGCGAUAAAGUUCAAUUUCAAGUCUUUUUGAAGACGUCUUUUCUUUGCUGACACACACACACACACACACGUGCAGCGUUUUUUUGCUUGAAAUCCUGCACAAAGAAAUAUAUUUGCACUUUCGUACCGGGGGCUAACUACAGCCCUGGCACACGGGAGUCCCCGGGACCUGUAAUUUUGGUAGCCAAGAACUCUGUCCAGACUGCCAAAUAUAAAUUCUGUGCGCAAAAUUAUGUCCAUCAUCAAUACACACUGUAUGCUGGCAACGGAUGUGAUUAGCUUCUUAAGCGUUUGUCUCCUCUCCCCUAAAGUAAAGCCCUCCCCACCUUUCCAUUACCACCCGCUCGAUCCCUUCUCCUCCUCCCUCCCCUUAACCCAUGCGCUACGAGCUAGAUAAAACCAAUCAAUGGCUUGUCUGUGAGAAGCCUUUGAUAAGUUCCUGCAAUGGCUGCCAUUAUAUCAGAUGGGAAGUGGAAAGCCGCACCGAGAGCCUCGUCCAGUGUUGGAUUUCAGGUGAGUUUAGCUUUUUUUGGGGGGCAUUCAUGGGGGGACCUAAAGAAUAAUACCCAAUAGGACAUUAAUCAUAAAAAAAUAAAACUGUCAUAAAGGGUAUGCAAUAACCCAUUAACACUGUCUCAGAUAUCUACUACAAGUUUAUUAACAUUUAUGAAGUGGGCACGUAUGUCAGUAACGAUGUGAUUAUAUUCUUGCCAGUGUACAGGCUGUUUUAUAUGAUUUCCUGUAAUUUCAAAUAUAUAAAAACCCAUUCUCUUUUAAUGGCAUGUGUUAUGAAAAUAGCAAGCCAUUCUCAAGGAGCCGAACUGUACUUGAAGGAAUUCAUUGUUCUCACCACUCCCCAAAGCCUGCAGGGUGUGAGUUUAAUUUGGGAGGUGCUGUGUUUCCUCAUUUGUCUAUUGUUUAACAUUUUUUAGGUUGUCUUCUUCAUUAAUAUAUAACAACAAAUAAUUGCUUAAUUGUUUGCAAAAACAAUUGGGGCAUUGAAGGCAUUCAAUAAUACGAACACGGCAAUUCCAAAUCAAAGGCUCCUUUAUUUUAGCCGUUAAUGCCUUGUAAUCUGAAUCCAACUCUGACACAAUACAUGUACCCAAAAACUAGGAAAUAGAUGGCUAGCGGGUCUGUUACUCCAUUGGUCACUUGCCUAUAGGUGUUAUGGACAAUUUACUCACAAGACAUUCUCCUUCUGAUUAAAAACUGCCGAAGGCGCACUGAAAUCAGGGACGGAUUUACACGUCAGGAACCUGUAGGCACGGAAUUCUAAGGCAAUCCCAGCUCCCCCCACCCCAAAAAAGGCAUAUUAUUAAUGAAUAUAUUAACUGGACAUUGAAGGUAACUGUAAGUACAGUUAGAGUAUGCAGCUGUGUAAAUGCAUGCGGGGUUAAAAAUAAUGUUAGAAGUGGUCAGGAUUAAAGGGAAGGGGUUAAGUUUAGAGAGGUCUUAAAGGUACAGGCACCACAACAAAUGAAUCAAAAUUAAGUGGUUAUGGUACCAGGAGGUCCCCAGGUGCUUUUUUACCUGAUGGGCCUUAAACCGGCCUCCAAAAAGUUGUUCUAGUGCCCAGAGUGUUCCUUUAUGGUCAGAGUUACAUUACAAAGGGUGUAAGAGGAUUAAAGGUUAUAUUUAGUAUUGAGGUAGAUGAUGUGUUUCAAUUAUAAUUGUUUCAGGUUCAGGCUUUGAGUUCUUAAAUCUGGGACUAAGGAAAGAGUUUUUAUAAACUUUAGGAAAAGAUAUGUGGAGUUUGAAGGGUUAUGUGUAAAGUGCCUCCCCCCCCCUGCUCUAUGAUCAGUUGUAGUUAAUUGUAGUAUUAACCCAUGUUAUUUUGCUCACAGGCUUCUUCAUGUUGAUGCUAGGAUAUUGCCCAUUUAUUUAAUCCUCGUUGACAUGGAGUCUCCGACACCAAUGGAGAGAUUGCUGGAAAAUUUGAACAGUGUUUUGCAGGCAUUAAACAAGACUCUAAACAGCCAACCCUGCCAGUCUGACAAACACGUCAACAAAACCAUCAACAACACAAAAAAUGAUAAUUCCUACAUAUUCAUUCUUUUUGUCAUGUUCCUCUUUGCUGUGACUGUCGGCAGCUUAAUACUUGGGUACACGCGGUCAAAGAAAGUGGACAAAAGGAGUGACCCCUAUCACGUGUACAUUAAAAACAACACAAAACUAUCUGUUAUUUGAAAAAGGCAAUGUGUACAAAACAAGCCUUUGGGACCAACUGAGCACCAAGCUGGAACGUACAGGUUUGGUGCCAUUUGAAUGGGCAAAUCCCUUCAUUGUCUCCUGUCUUAUUUACUUACUGAGACAAUUCUCCUCUGCUGCUGAACAUGCUGGGAACCGAAGCCUGAAAUAGCUGCAGUGAGUGCCAGGUUGUACUCAUCACCCUUGUGCUCCACCUUCAUGGUAGGGCAGUACUGGUUUUAUUGGACCAUACCAUUUUCUGUGGAUUAUUUAACUAAAGAUAUUUGUAUUGUACAUCUGUGAAAUUAUACAGAAAGGGAGCACGUCAAGAAACGGUUUUACAUUUAAUAUUUUAAACAGGACCAGACUCUUAUAAACUCUCCUAUUACAUCACAAAUUAUGAGAGACACCUAAAAUGGGUCUACCUUCCCUAAAAUAUGUGACUAACUAGGUACGCUGUAUACUUUUUUACUGAUUGUAAUAAUAAGUAAGUACUGUUUAAAAUUAUUACUAACGUAAGAAUGAAGCAUUCCCUUCCUUUCGUCCUUUAUGUAUAUGGUUUUAUUUUCUAUUAAUUUUUAACUCCUGGGUUGUAAAUAAUUACUAAUUUUUUUUAAAGCACCCUAAAAGGGGAAUGUAAAAGAAAUGCUGAAUAAAUACAUUGUGUUAGAUGUUAUAACCAGUAAAUGUAUAGAGUACAUGUUAUUAGUGACUUGAAUUUUACAUACGGGUGUCUGUUGAGAAAGCACAACACAAUGCACUCCAGGCAUCCGAUGAUGUUUUCUUGGUAUUGGGAACGUACAGAUUCUUGGGCACACACCGAUUGCUUGUGUCAAAAUUGUAUUUUUUUUUUUCCUCAAUGCCAAAUACAUUUAUACACUGUCUAUAACAUUCGAUUUAUACAUUUGCUGGCUUAUGUGAAAUAUUGUUUAUAAUUUGCCUCUUUGUCAAAAAAUAACAAUAAGGAUAGUUAGACACACAUAGAGUAAGAUCCUAAAUGAGUUGAAACAUUAGAAUAAAAGCUUCUGUUUGCAUAACCUGUGUUGUGUCUGUGUUGUUGUCAUUGCUGAAUCUUUCCAAAACAGAACUUCUUGUCUUUCCUCCUCCUAAUAUUAAUCCUCCUCUCUCACUCUCCCUUCAGAUUGGUGGUACCCAUAUCAGUCCAUCCUUACAAGCACGUUGUCUUGGUGUUACUUUUGAUUCUGGCCUCACCUUUGAGCCUCACAUCCGGUCUGUUGUCAAAUCAUGCCAAUUCCACCUUAAAAACAUCGCCCGAAUCCGCCCCUUUCUUACACAAGAUGCUACUAAAGAGCUUGUCCAUGCUCUAGUAAUUUCUCGCAUGGACUAUUGUAACUCUCUUCUAAUUGGUCUUCCCAAUAGCCGUAUUGCCC